AUUGAACGCUGGCGGCAGGCCUAACACAUGCAAGUCGAGCGGUAGAGAGGUGCUUGCAUCUCUUGAGAGCGGUGGACGGGUGAGUAAUGCCUAGGAAUCUGCCUGGUGGUGGGGGGAUAACGUUCGGAAACGGACGCUAAUACCGCAUACGUCCUACGGGAGAAAGCGGGGGGAUCUUCGGACCUCGCGCCAUUAGAUGAGCCUAGGUCGGAUUAGCUAGUUGGUGAGGUAAUGGCUCACCAAGGCGACGAUCCGUAAACUGGUCUGAGAGGAUGAUCAGUCACACUGGAACUGAGACACGGUCCAGACUCCUACGGGA
rnacentral:rRNA from 1 species